GACGAACCGUGCGACCGUUGUUCGGAAUCACUGGGCUUAAAGGGCGCGUAGGCGGGCUGCCAAGUCUGGGGUGAAAUCCUCCGGCUCAACCGGAGAACGGCCUCGGAUACUGGCGGUCUCGAGGGAGGUAGGGGCGUGCGGAACUAAGGGUGGAGCGGUGAAAUGCGUUGAUAUCCUUAGGAACUCCGGUGGCGAAGGCGGCACGCUGGACCUCUUCUGACGCUGAGGCGCGAAAGCCAGGGGAGCAAACGGG
rnacentral:rRNA from 1 species